rnacentral:lncRNA from 1 species
UAAUGAACCAAAAAUUAUACUAGGAAUUAAAUGGUUAAAUAUGGUAGAACCAUGGAAUCUAAAUGAAUCAGAAUUAGAAAUAACAGUUAAAUGAAGCUCUCCCUUCUCUCUAACAGUACCGUGCCAUUGCCUCAUCUUCUCCGCCUGCCUCGGCGCACGUUAGUUAACGUUGCCGAGCUGGUUUCCAUGGCAAGAGGAAGAGG